rnacentral:rRNA from 1 species
GCCUACGGAGCGCUGCAGGCGCGAAAACUUCACAAAGUGCGAAAGCACGACGAGGAAAUCCAAGUCUAGCUCGUAAGAGUAAGCUGUUCAUGUCUAAAACACUGACGAAUAACGAUG